AUUGAACGCUGGCGGCAGGCCUAACACAUGCAAGUCGAGCGAGCGGCGGACGGGUGAGUAAUGUCUGGGAAACUGCCUGAUGGAGGGGGAGAACUACUGGAAACGGUAGCUAAUACCGCAUACCAUCAGAUGUGCCCAGAUGGGAUUAGCUAGUAGGUGGGGUAAUGGCUCACCUAGGAGACGAUCCCUCGCUGGUCUGAGAGGAUGACCAGCCAACCUGGAACUGGGACACGGGCCAGCGCCCUACGGGAGGCAGCAGUGGGGAAUAUUGCAAAAGGGGGGCAAGCCUGAUGCAGCCAGGCCGCGUGUGUGAAGAAGGCCUUCGGGUUGUAAAGCACUUUCAGCGAGGAGGCGUUACUCGCAGAAGAAGCACCGGCUAACUCCGUGCCAGCAGCCGCGUAAUAC
rnacentral:rRNA from 1 species